UACAGAGGUCCCAAGCGUUGUUCGGAUUCACUGGGCGUAAAGGGUGCGUAGGCGGUCGGGUAAGUCUGAUGUGAAAUCUCACAGCUUAACUGUGAAACUGCAUUGGAUACUAUCCGGCUCGAGGAAUGGAGGGGAGACUGGAAUACUUGGUGUAGCAGUGAAAUGCGUAGAUAUCGAGAGGAACACCGGUGGCGAAGGCGGCCAACUGGACGAGUACUGACGCUGAGACACGAAAGCGUGGGGAGCAAACAGG
rnacentral:rRNA from 1 species